UACGUAGGGUCCAAGCGUUAUCCGGAAUCACUGGGCGUAAAGCGUGCGUAGGCGGCGUGUUAAGUGUGAUGUUAAAUCGUGGGGCUCAACCCUAUCGAUGCAUCGCAUACUGGCAUGCUUGAGGAAGGCAGAGGCAAGUGGAAUUGGCAGUGUAGCAGUGAAAUGCGUAGAGAUUGCCAGGAACACCAAUGGCGAAGGCAGCUUGCUGGGCCUUUUCUGACGCUGAGGUACGAAAGCGUGGGGAGCGAACAGG
rnacentral:rRNA from 1 species